GUAGCUCUAGGUGUUUGCUUAGGCUAAGAAAAGGCUGAAGGAAGAUAUUAGUUUUCAUGUUAAAAGCUAGUUUGCAAUUUUGGGAGCUUUUUUGAUUGCAGGGGACGCAAUGAGGUCUGGUAUCCCUACACAAGCCUUUGCGCUGUGGAGCCCUGAAGAGCAGCACUACCUGCCAGCUUUUGAUCUUGUCCCAGAGGUGCCGGAACUCAUCAAAGUUGAUCUUUCCUGAGCCGUCUGUCUGUGAUGCAAGUAUUCAGCUCCCAAAGGAAAUUUGGUGCAAGAAAACUUAAAUUUUCCAUCUUUUGAAUCUGUGAAGAAGUUGGAUUAGGUGCUGCUGUGUCUUAGCUGCUCUGCAGAGGUGUGGGUUGGUCAUGUACUCACAUCCCCUGCGAUCUGUCGGAAAAUAUUCCUGAACUGUGUUUCCUCUUCACUCUUCUCACGAGCUUUUGCUGAAGAACGCUGGAAAGAUACAAGUGAAGGAUAUAUGCAAUGUUAGCUUUGCAGGAAAAUGAAAGGGUCUGGGUGGUUCAUCCCCUUCACACAAAUAAGCCUCUCAGUGACAGUGCAGCUCUUCAGAGGAACACAUUAUCCUCAUGGACUUCUCCCCUUUCUUUCAUUAAAUGUACUCCUUGAUGAGCCUGCUGCUCUAAAUGAUUACAUUCACCAACGGAUCUUUAA